GUCCAAACAAUAGCAAAUAAGGAAAGUUUAUAGAUAAAAGGCACAUUGUAAAGCCCCAUAGAACAAUAUCAGACUAUCAGUAAGAGAAGCAAAGAAAGAACACCCAAAACAAAGGAAGAGUAAUGCAGAAUCGGAUAUGAAGAUAUGAAGUGAGAUCUAGAAUCGUCAAGAAGUGGAAACACCGGGGAGAAGAUAGAGGGCGGAAGUAAAAUUCUGUUUAUUCUCCAUGGGAUCAAAUGCCUAAGUAACAAAGAAAGUUGAAAGUUAUUUCAAGAUAUAUGUAAAAUUUUACUGUUUUCAAAAGUAGGUUCAAAAUUCUAUUUUUGCAUGCCAUGAAGGAAGGAUUUUGAUCAAGGAUUUUCAAGAGGAUGUUCCUUCCUCCAUCACACUAAUUUUAAACAGGGUCGAAACUAGGAAGAAGUCGAUCCAUGUCUUUUAAUAUAGUUUAGAAAGUUACCGUGAAUGGCAGCUUCAACAACUGGAUAACAUGUUCAAAAUUCUUCUCAACUGGGAUUCAAGAUAACGAUUUACUAAUGAAAACCAGCAUUAUAUCAAACGGUGCAAUGACAAGGAAGAAGACCGAGGAGAUUAUAGUGUUUAUAUGCCUUGCUGUCUGCGGCAUAUCACAUGCAGUUGAAAAUCUGGAG